AUGCAGUCGAGCGGAACCAUUGGAGCUUGCUCCAUUGGUUUAGCGGCGGACGGGUGAGUAACACGUGGGCAACCUGCCCUGCAGAUCGGGAUAACUCCGGGAAACCGGUGCUAAUACCGAAUAGUUUGCGGCCUCUCAUGAGGCUGCACGGAAAGACGGUUUCGGCUGUCACUGCAGGAUGGGCCCGCGGCGCAUUAGCUAGUUGGUGGGGUAACGGCCCACCAAGGCGACGAUGCGUAGCCGACCUGAGAGGGUGAUCGGCCACACUGGGACUGAGACACGGCCCAGACUCCUACGGGAGGCAGCAGUAGGGAAUCUUCCGCAAUGGACGAAAGUCUGACGGAGCAACGCCGCGUGAGUGAAGAAGGUUUUCGGAUCGUAAAACUCUGUUGUGAGGGAAGAACAAGUACCAACUAACUAUUGGUACCUUGACGGUACCUCACCAGAAAGCCACGGCUAACUACGUGCCAGCAGCCGCGGUAAUACGUAGGUGGCAAGCGUUGUCCGGAAUUAUUGGGCGUAAAGCGCGCGCAGGCGGUCCUUUAAGUCUGAUGUGAAAGCCCACGGCUCAACCGUGGAGGGUCAUUGGAAACUGGAGGACUUGAGUGCAGAAGAGGAAAGUGGAAUUCCAUGUGUAGCGGUGAAAUGCGUAGAGAUGUGGAGGAACACCAGUGGCGAAGGCGACUUUCUGGUCUGUAACUGACGCUGAGGCGCGAAAGCGUGGGGGAGCAAACAGGAUUAGAUACCCUGGUAGUCCACGCCGUAAACGAUGAGUG
rnacentral:rRNA from 2 species